rnacentral:tRNA from 1 species
UGGGUAUUAGCCAAGUGGUAAGGCAUCGGUUUCUGGUACCGUCACGCACUGGUUCGAAUCCAGUAUACCCAG